UAGUUUGGAUUUACUUUCAGUAAUAGGCUAAG
rnacentral:piRNA from 1 species